UCUCUUCGGAGUUGACGAUAAUGGAAUGAGCGGCGGACGGGUGAGUAACACGUAGGCAACCUGCCUGUAAGACUGGGAUAACUCGUGGAAACGCGAGCUAAUACCGGAUAACACUUUUCAUCUCCUGAUGAGAAGUUGAAAGGCGGCUUUUGCUGUCACUUACAGAUGGGCCUGCGGCGCAUUAGCUAGUUGGUAAGGUAACGGCUUACCAAGGCGACGAUGCGUAGCCGACCUGAGAGGGUGAUCGGCCACACUGGGACUGAGACACGGCCCAGACUCCUACGGGAGGCAGCAGUAGGGAAUCUUCCGCAAUGGACGAAAGUCUGACGGAGCAACGCCGCGUGAGUGAUGAAGGUUUUCGGAUCGUAAAACUCUGUUGUUAGGGAAGAACAAGUACUAUAGUAACUGAUAGUACCUUGACGGUACCUAACCAGAAAGCCACGGCUAACUACGUGCCAGCAGCCGCGGUAAUACGUAGGUGGCAAGCGUUGUCCGGAAUUAUUGGGCGUAAAGCGCUCGCAGGCGGUUCUUUAAGUCUGAUGUGAAAUCUUACGGCUCAACCGUAAACGUGCAUUGGAAACUGGGGAACUUGAGUGCAG
rnacentral:rRNA from 1 species